GAAGGUGAUGAUAGUAUCUGUCGCCCCAGUCUUACAAGCAUGUGCUUGGUGGUGAUCGACACUCUCAUGUCUGAUUC
rfam:Ricinus communis ctg_1100012361560, whole genome shotgun sequence.